CACAAAGUGCAAAUUUUAGACAAAUUUAAAACAGAUAGAUAUAUUUAAGGAUUAUAUGUUGGUUAGAGGCAAUAUUUUGGCAUCCGUUUUGUUAGCCUCGAUGGACUCGAUUUGCACCGAUAAACCGUAGCUGGGAUUCUUCUUCAGAUAGGCAACCCAAAAGCUGACCGCACCGCACGAACCACCAUCGGGAACUGACACUCGACGCUGCGUGUUGCUGCUUUGUGUGGAC